AAUGUACCUAGUAGAAGGGGAUAGCCCGAGGAAACUCGGAUUAAUACCGUAUACCUCCUCGGGAGAAAGAAGGCCUCUCUUUGAAGCUUUCGCUACUAGAUCAGCCUGCGUAAGAUUAGCUUGUUGGUGAGGUAAUGGCUCACCAAGGCUACGAUCUUUAGCUGGUCUGAGAGGACGAUCAGCCACAUUGGGACUGAGACACGGCCCAGACUCCUACGGGAGGCAGCAGUGGGGAAUAUUGGACAAUGGGCGCAAGCCUGAUCCAGCCAUACCGCGUGUGUGAAGAAGGCCUUCGGGUUGUAAAGCACUUUAAGCAGGGAGAAAAAAAUAUAGGUUAAUACCCUAUGUUCUUGAUGUUACCUGCAGAAUA
rnacentral:rRNA from 1 species